rnacentral:misc_RNA from 1 species
UGCAUCGUUGGUGUGGCAGACUGCGUGUCUGCCCGUCUUGCGUGUGAAGGAUACGUGUUCCAUCCUCGAGAACGACGUGAGUCGCAUCAGACAGCAAGUCAGUAUUGCUCCGACAGCAUUGCGUGCCCGUGAGCGAUCAGCAGUCUGUCCCUACUCUCGUUCCCUCCCUCCCACCACCUCCACUCGUGCACACGCGCACAACGAUGGGUGCCCGUCACAGUGUACCGCUAACGCCGAGCGGCCAGCCAAGCGCGCAGGCGCUGGCACAGGCCAACGACAACGACGUGAACUCGUGGGGCACGCCGCCGGAUGAGGCCCCGGAGGAUGAGAAGGACCCGACAGAGCUGGUGCUGCAGAGCUGGGCCUUCUGCAAGGCGAAGCCGACGCCGCAGAAGAUGUACCGCAGCGACACGGACGAGCGCAAGCGGCGACAGUCGGUGAGCUGGCGCAAGCGCGCGAGCUUCAUCGAGCUUGACUGCGGCGAAGAUAGCUUCUUCGUAGCGAACAACUACAAGGUCAUCGGCGUUGCCGACGGUGUCGGCGGCUGGCGCUCUGAGGGCGUCGACCCCUCCUUGUUUGCCAACGCGUUGAUGGAGAACGCGAAGCUGUUUGCGGAGACGCACCGUGGCGAGCGCGACCCAGAGAAGAUCCUUGAUGCCGCCUACACCAAAGUAGUGAAGGACGGCAUUGUCAAGGUGGGCAGCAGCACGGCUUGUGUGGCAACUCUGCGCAAAGAGGAUGACGGCAGCCACAGGCUCGACGUGGCGAACCUCGGCGACAGCGGCGUGAUGGUGGUGCGCAACCGCGACAUGUACUUCCGCGUACACGAGAAGGUGCACGGCUUCAACGCGCCGUUCCAGCUGGCAGUGCUGCCGCGGUCGAUGGUAGGGCGCGCGUUCUCUGACCGCGUGCAGGACUGUGUUCGCGAGUCGGUGCCGGUGCAAGAGGGCGACGUUAUUGUGAUGGGCACCGACGGUCUCUUCGACAAUCGCUUCAACUCCGAGCUCGCCGCGGACGCCGGGUGGAUUGGCAAGGUGGAGGAGAGCCCCAUCGCCAAGAUCCCGCUUGUGGGCUUCUUCCUCAGUGGCAUCUUGGACGCGAAGAUCGAGUACGUGGACCCCUAUCGUGUCGCGCAGCGCAUCAUCACCGACGCCUACAAGACCUCCGUGAACCCGGAUACCAACUCGCCGUGGGCCUCGAUGCUGCGUAGGUUCGGGCAAACUGACGCCAAGGGCGGCAAGCCGGAUGACAUCACUGUUCUCCUGAGCCGCGUGAGUACACGCGAAGAACUGAACAACAACACGAGCUGGUAAAGCGGACCGACACAUGUGGACGUGGAUGUGCGCUCGUGUCGGCUCCCAAUGAUGGUGGCAGCGAUGUCGGCGUUGAUAGCGAACAAGGCCGGUCCCUACCUGCCUCUUGUUCUGUCUCGGUGCGCGCACCAUGAAGCGUGUGGAGGCCACCCAUAGGCGAGAGAGGCAGAGAAGGGAAGAGAGGAGGAGGCCAAUGACGGUCGUGAUGGUGAUGAGGCAAACAUGCAGCGCUGUCGGUGCGCUCACGAGGGGGGUGAGGCAUGAGUGAAUGUUGAGGGGCGUGCUCUCGGCGCCUUUCCGCAGAAGCACAGGCUCCCACGCAUACACAGGUACAAGGUGAGAGUAAGAGUGAGAGUGUGCGCUGCUGCGCAGCUACAUAAGGUGCCCACUACCCUAACAUGGGCACCUCGAAUUACAGGGCAGCAGGCAAAC